rnacentral:rRNA from 1 species
GAUGAACGCUGGCGGCGUGCCUAAUACAUGCAAGUCGAGCGAACGGACGAGAAGCUUGCUUCUCUGAUGUUAGCGGCGGACGGGUGAGUAACACGUGGAUAACCUACCUAUAAGACUGGGAUAACUUCGGGAAACCGGAGCUAAUACCGGAUAAUAUUUUGAACCGCAUGGUUCAAAAGUGAAAGACGGUCUUGCUGUCACUUAUAGAUGGAUCCGCGCUGCAUUAGCUAGUUGGUAAGGUAACGGCUUACCAAGGCAACGAUGCAUAGCCGACCUGAGAGGGUGAUCGGCCACACUGGAACUGAGACACGGUCCAGACUCCUACGGGAGGCAGCAGUAGGGAAUCUUCCGCAAUGGGCGAAAGCCUGACGGAGCAACGCCGCGUGAGUGAUGAAGGUCUUCGGAUCGUAAAACUCUGUUAUUAGGGAAGAACAUAUGUGUAAGUAACUGUGCACAUCUUGACGGUACCUAAUCAGAAAGCCACGGCUAACUACGUGCCAGCAGCCGCGGUAAUACGUAGGUGGCAAGCGUUAUCCGGAAUUAUUGGGCGUAAAGCGCGCGUAGGCGGUUUUUUAAGUCUGAUGUGAAAGCCCACGGCUCAACCGUGGAGGGUCAUUGGAAACUGGAAAACUUGAGUGCAGAAGAGGAAAGUGGAAUUCCAUGUGUAGCGGUGAAAUGCGCAGAGAUAUGGAGGAACACCAGUGGCGAAGGCGACUUUCUGGUCUGUAACUGACGCUGAUGUGCGAAAGCGUGGGGAUCAAACAGGAUUAGAUACCCUGGUAGUCCACGCCGUAAACGAUGAGUGCUAAGUGUUAGGGGGGUUCCGCCCCUUAGUGCUGCAGCUAACGCAUUAAGCACUCCGCCUGGGGAGUACGACCGCAAGGUUGAAACUCAAAGGAAUUGACGGGGACCCGCACAAGCGGUGGAGCAUGUGGUUUAAUUCGAAGCGACGCGAAGAACCUUACCAAAUCUUGACAUCCUUUGACAACUCUAGAGAUAGAGCCUUCCCCUUCGGGGGACAAAGUGACAGGUGGUGCAUGGUUGUCGUCAGCUCGUGUCGUGAGAUGUUGGGUUAAGUCCCGCAACGAGCGCAACCCUUAAGCUUAGUUGCCAUCAUUAAGUUGGGCACUCUAAGUUGACUGCCGGUGACAAACCGGAGGAAGGUGGGGAUGACGUCAAAUCAUCAUGCCCCUUAUGAUUUGGGCUACACACGUGCUACAAUGGACAAUACAAAGGGCAGCGAAACCGCGAGGUCAAGCAAAUCCCAUAAAGUUGUUCUCAGUUCGGAUUGUAGUCUGCAACUCGACUACAUGAAGCUGGAAUCGCUAGUAAUCGUAGAUCAGCAUGCUACGGUGAAUACGUUCCCGGGUCU